CCUACGGGAGGCUGCAGUAGGGAAUAUUGGUCAAUGGGUGAGAGCCUGAACCAGCCAUGCCGCGUGCAGGAAGACGGCCUUCUGGGUUGUAAACUGCUUUUGCCGGGGAAUAAAAUACCCAUGCGUGGGAAAUUGAAGGUACCCGGUGAAUAAGCCACGGCUAACUACGUGCCAGCAGCCGCGGUAAUACGUAGGUGGCGAGCGUUGUCCGGAUUUAUUGGGUUUAAAGGGUGCGUAGGCGGCCUUGUAAGUCAGUUCUGAAAUAUCCCGGCUUAACCGGGAGGGUGGGAUUGAUACUGCUUGGCUUGAGUGAAGUCGAGGUAGGCGGAAUUGACGGUGUAGCGGUGAAAUGCUUAGAUAUCGUCAAGAACACCGAUAGCGUAGGCAGCUUACUAGACUUUAACUGACGCUGAGGCACGAAAGUGUGGGGAUCAAACAGG
rnacentral:rRNA from 1 species